rnacentral:tRNA from 1 species
GCGAGUAUAGUUUAAUGGCAGAACUUCAGUAGCUUCCAAGCUGACUAUGAGGGUUCGAUUCCCUUUACUCGCUCCA